GAACAUUUCUAGAAUAGGGAAUAAGAUCAGCAAACAGUCAGAGAACUGACUUCUUCUCCAUAAAGUGGGGGAAGCUUCACUUCCUCCUAUUUCUAUCAAAAAACAAUUGGAGAAUCAAAAAGAAGAAACACUAUGUUUGAUGAUAUAGAAUUCAAUAUUAAUAUAGCUGUAAAUGGAUUGGAUUUUGAUUACUAAAUUUUCAAUCCAAAUACAAACUAACUCGAACCAAUCUCCUUUUCUUUUGCCUUG
rnacentral:lncRNA from 1 species